AGAGUUUGAUCAUGGCUCAGGAGAACGCUGGCGGCGUGCUUAACACAUGCAAGUCGAACGGGAAGAAAAGAAAGAGCUUGCUCUUUUUGGAAUCUAGUGGCAAACGGGUGAGUAACACGUAAACAACCUGCCUUCAGGAUGGGGACAACAGACGGAAACGACUGCUAAUACCGAAUACCUUCCAAUUUCCGCAUGGAGAAAGGAAGAAAGGGUGGCCUCUACUUGUAAGCUAUCGCCUGAAGAGGGGUUUGCGUCUGAUUAGCUAGUUGGUGAGGUAACGGCCCACCAAGGCGACGAUCAGUAGCCGGUCUGAGAGGAUGAACGGCCACACUGGAACUGAGACACGGUCCAGACUCCUACGGGAGGCAGCA
rnacentral:rRNA from 1 species